UUUCCUCAGUCUCGACCUUGUCGUCAGCGUUGGUUUCUGCAACCGCUGUGACAUCCUCAGCUGGCUUAGAUUCUGCCAUCUCAUUUGCUGCUUCUGUGGGUUCAGAAAGAUCUACCAAAGGAGAUCGGGCCUCCCUUGAUCUCCCUUGAAGUUUCGACCCUAGAAGCUUUGAUCAGAUUUCGAGAGGGUUCGAUGGCGGUAAACCAUACGCUUAUAAAAAGAAAUAAGGAGGCAGCGGCCAGUGAAUCCCUCGCAUUGAGAAUGACCUGCCAAAGGCCUGAAUGAAAACGCAUACACAUCCUAGCUCAGCAUUUUCAACGACAGGAGCCUCAACAGGUGCAGGAGCAACCUCGUUGAUGUCUAAGUCCUUAGGUUUGCUAGCACAGCCACCCAUAAUCGUCGCUUAAAGUUGUUAAAAAGAUGAACGAAAGGGUGAGG